CAGUCGCCGCGGUAAUACGGAGGGUGCAAGCGUUAAUCGGAUUUACUGGGCGUAAAGCGUGCGUAGGCGGCUUUUUAAGUCGGAUGUGAAAUCCCUGAGCUUAACUUAGGAAUUGCAUUCGAUACUGGGAAGCUAGAGUAUGGGAGAGGAUGGUAGAAUUCCAGGUGUAGCGGUGAAAUGCGUAGAGAUCUGGAGGAAUACCGAUGGCGAAGGCAGCCAUCUGGCCUAAUACUGACGCUGAGGUACGAAAGCAUGGGGAGCAAACAGGAUUAGAUACCCCUGUAGUCCCUGUCUCUUAUAA
rnacentral:rRNA from 1 species